GAUGAACGCGGCGGCGUGCCUAAUACAUGCAAGUCGAGCGAGAAGCUUGGAAAUGACGCUUCGGUUGAUUUUCCAAGCGGACAGCGGCGGACGGGUGAGUAACGCGUAGGCAACCUGCCCCUGACAGAGGGAUAGCCAUUGGAAACGAUGAUUAAAACCUCAUGACACCGUAGUAGCACAUGCUACAUCGGUCAAAGAUUUAUCGGUCAGGGAUGGGCCUGCGUCUGAUUAACUGGUUGGUGAGGUAACGGCUCACCAAGGUGACGAUCAGUAGCCGACCUGAGAGGGUGAUCGGCCACAUUGGAACUGAGACACGGUCCAAACUUCUACGGAAGGCAGCAGUAGGGAAUCUUGCACAAUGGGCGAAAGCCUGAUGCAGCAACGCCGCGUGAAGGAUGAAGGCCUUCGGGUUGUAAACUUCUUUCUAAGGGAAGAA
rnacentral:rRNA from 1 species